AUGAACGCUGGCGGCGUGCCUAAUACAUGCAAGUCGAGCGAACAGAUGAGGAGCUUGCUCCUCUGACGUUAGCGGCGGACGGGUGAGUAACACGUGGAUAACCUACCUAUAAGACUGGGAUAACUUCGGGAAACCUGAGCUAAUACCGGAUAAUAUAUUGAACCGCAUGGUUCAAUAGUGAAAGACGGUUUUGCUGUCACUUAUAGAUGGAUCCGCGCCGCAUUAGCUAGUUGGUAAGGUAACGGCUUACCAAGGCAACGAUGCGUAGCCGACCUGAGAGGGUGAUCGGCCACACUGGAACUGAGACACGGUCCAGACUCCUACGGGAGGCAGCAGUAGGGAAUCUUCCGCAAUGGGCGAAAGCCUGACGGAGCAACGCCGCGUGAGUGAUGAAGGUCUUCGGAUCGUAAAACUCUGUUAUUAGGGAAGAACAAAUGUGUAAGUAACUAUGCACGUCUUGACGGUACCUAAUCAGAAAGCCACGGCUAACUACGUG
rnacentral:rRNA from 1 species